rnacentral:rRNA from 1 species
GGGGAUGACGUCAAAUCAUCCAUGCCCCUUAUGACCUGGGCUACACACGUGCUACAAUGGUUGGUACAACGAGUUGCGAGUCGGUGACGGCGAGCUAAUCUCUUAAAGCCAAUCUCAGUUCGGAUUGUAGGCUGCAACUCGCCUACAUGAAGUCGGAAUCGCUAGUAAUCGCGGAUCAGCACGCCGCGGUGAAUACGUUCCCGGGCCUU